GAGUUUGAUCAUGGCUCAGAUUGAACGCUGGCGGCAGGCUUAACACAUGCAAGUCGAGCGGUUUAUUCCAGCUUGCUGGAAUAGAUAGCGGCGGACGGGUGAGUAAUACUUAGGAAUCUGCCUAUUAGUGGGGGACAACGUUCCGAAAGGAGCGCUAAUACCGCAUACGUCCUACGGGAGAAGGCAGGGGAUCAGUAAUGACCUUGCGCUAAUAGAUGAGCCUAAGUCGGAUUAGCUAGUUGGUGGGGUAAAGGCCUACCAAGGCGACGAUCUGUAGCGGGUCUGAGAGGAUGAUCCGCCACACUGGGACUGAGACACGGCCCAGACUCCUACGGGAGGCAGCAGUGGGGAAUAUUGGACAAUGGGGGGAACCCUGAUCCAGCCAUGCCGCGUGUGUGAAGAAGGCCUUUUGGUUGUAAAGCACUUUAAGCGAGGAGGAGGCUCUUCUAGUUAAUACCUAGGAUGAGUGGACGUUACUCGCAGAAUAAGCACCGGCUAACUCCGUGCCAGCAGCCGCGGUAAU
rnacentral:rRNA from 1 species